GGGAACUGGGGCUGAUCUGGAAAUGCACUGGCUCCUUUAAGAGAGCCUGCUUCUUGCUCCUGGGAUUUCCAUCUUCCCCCAGCUCAGUGCCCUCUGGGAAGAAGAGGGUGUCAGAUCACCUGAAACUGUAAUUUUAGGAGGGCGUGAGCUACCCAGGGUGGAUGCUGGGAUCUAAACCUAGAUCCUCUACAAGAGCAAGUGUUCCCUACUGCUGAACCACCUCUUCAGCCCCUGAAAAAUACUAAUGUUUGGUUGAUCAGCUUACUUGGAACUUUCUUUGAAACCACCAAGAUUCAUACAUGGGUUAGACAGUAUUUAAGCAUAUAGAAGGUAUUAGUCUUAACAAAACCAGGUAGUCAAGACAUGUUAAUAUUAUUUUAUUCUAAUAAAUAAUAAAUUUAUAUAAAUUCUUACCUUUUUGUGCCCCAAUUCUACUAUACUGAUGAGAAAUUGAAUCUCAGUGAUUAAUGAUGCAUUAAGUAUCUUUUGUUAGGAUUAUAUAAGAAUUUGGGGAGCCAUAAGUAACCAAAGGAAAGGUAGAGGGUUAGUUUUUAGUGUGUGGAGCUACAGUUUGAAUCUUGAGUGUAUCUUCAAAGUCUCUGUUGAAGAUUUGGUUCUUACAUAGGUGAUGGAACCUAGAGAAAAUGGAACUUAGUGGAAGGAGCAUGACCCUGUAGGGGACAUUGGGAUCCCGAGCCCUUCCUGUAUCUUUGCUUCCUGAUUCUGUGAGAUGAGUGUGCACUCCUGUCGGGAUAGCCUGUGCUGCAACCGGCCCAAAGUGAAUAAAGCCAUGCAACCAUGGACUGAGUCCCUCUUCCUCUCUCCCUCUGUUCUUCUCCCUCUCCCCCUCUUCCACAGUCUCUCUCUUUCUGUGGGUGUGACUCUCUCUCCAUCUCUGACACACAUAAACCAUAGAUCAAAGUAAAUGUUUUCUCCUUUUAAAUUAAAAUGUUGGGUGAUUUUUUUUUUCUUUUUUUCUUUUUGUCACAGCAAUGAAAUGCUUGACUAACAUAGGUCUUUGGAGUUUAAUGUCUCUAAUGGUUAUGAGCAGCCUCAAGACACAAGAUCCUAUGGUUCUAGCCUGGGGAUUUUAGAGUCUGGGUUUUUGCUUUCUUUGCUCAUUUCCCUCUGAGAUUGUGCUGUUUGUCUAGAACACCACUGGGUUUUAGAUGUUUUUAGACCUACUCUUUUUAUGGCAUCUCUAAGGAAUCCCUUCACCUCCUUGAUAAUUUAACCUUUAUUUUUCUUACACUUUGUACCCCAGCCUGGCCUGUAUCUCUGGUGUCAGGAUUAGAGUUGUGACAAACAGACCUGGCACCCUCCUCUCUCUGAGCACAAUUUCCUCAAGGAAUUUACAUUAUCAGGAAGCAAACAUAAGCCUCUCUUGGGAAAGAAAAGGAGAUUUGGGAAUUGAAGAAUAUGGUGAGAAUAAAGUUAAAAUGAAUACAUUGGUGUCUUUCUUUUCUUAUUACUUAUUAUUUUUAUAUACUUUUAAUUUUAUUUGUGUGUAUAUAUAUUUUGCCUACAUGUAUAUCUGCACCUACAUGUAUGAAUGGUGCCUAGAGAGGCUGGAAGGUGUUAGAUCGCAAGGAACUGGAGUUAUAGAUACUUUUUAACCACUAUAUAGUCCUGGGAAUCAAAUCCUCUGGAAGAGCAGCUAGUUUUAACUAUUGAACCAUCUCUAUAACCCCUCCCCUUGUUAAUGUCUUUAUCCAUUUUUUGUUACUUGUUUAUUUGGUUUUGAUUUUGGUUUGGUUUUGGUUUGUUUUGAGAUAAGAUCCUGCUUUGUUGCCAUAGUCGUAAACUCACCAGCUCCUUGGGUUCUGCCUCACUCACCCUCUGGAGUAGCUGGGAUAGAGAAGAGUACCACUAUACCUAGUUUAGCCUCUUUUAUUUUCCUUGGAUUCUAUAGGUCUCUCUGGUGACUUUUAUAGACUCUUUUUAAAAACUGUUUGAUGUGUAGAGUAUUUGUCAGGCCUGGAAUUGAAGUUACCCAUGAGUGAGCUGCCAUGUGGGAACUGAACUCAGGACCUUUGGAAAAGCAGCCAGUGUUCUUAAUUGCUAAGCCAUCUUACCAGCUCCUCAGUCUUAGUUGGGGUUUUAGUGCUGUAAAGAGAUACCAUGACUGGGGCAACUAUUAUAAAGGAAAACAUUUAAUUGGGGCUGGCUUACAGGUUCAGAGGUUUAGUCCAUUACCAUCAUGGCAGGAACCACAGUAGUGUGCGGGCAGACACCCUCCUGGAAGAGGAGCUGAAAGUUCUACAUCUUGAGCCACAGGCAGCAACAGGAGACUGUGUACCACAGUGGACCUAUCUUGAGCAUAGACUUCCAUAGUGACACACUUCCUCCAAUAUGGCCACAUCUACUGCAAUAAGGCCACACCUCCUAAUAGGGCUACUUCCUGUAGGCCAAGCUUUCAAACACUUGAGUCUAUUCAAACCACCACCCUGUCUCUGGUGAUAUUAAAGAGAUGUAUGCAGUGUCAUUCUUAUUUUCUCUGUUUCUUUGAAAGAUGAAGCUUAACUUUCCUUUCCUGGACUGUGAGCUGGAUUUGGUGGAACGCUUCUAAUGACUAGAAAAGACAGCCGUCUUGAUAAGGCAUCACUUCCCAUGUUGGGUAUAAAAAGACUGACUCUUCUCUCUCCCUGUCUGUGUCUUUGUCUCUGGGGGAGGUCAUGUUGUGAGACAUCUCUAAAAUGAUGGGAACUAGAAUGUCCAUAGGAAUGUCAUGUGGGAAAGACACUUAACCUAGCAGCCACACAGUGAACCUGCUAGCAGCCCUUCUGUGACCUGCUGGAUGCCACAUGAGUGACCUUGGAGUGGAUCUCUUAAUCUCAAAGUUAGGAGGAGAAAGACCACUAACCCAAAUCAUCAUGACCAGUGUACUCAGCUGCCUCCCCCUAACACAAGGCUUCUAUAGCUCAGGGGUAGAGGCUUUCCAAGUAGGGGAUUUGGCAGGAAAAGAGGGUAGGGUAACAAGUGCAGAACAUAACAGGUGGUCAAAACAAGUAGUCAGAAUAAGGUAAUCAUGGGUCAUAUGACCCUUUACAACAAAGGUAGAUAAUUUUUUGAAACAUGCCAUUCCUGAGCCAAAAAAUACAGAAUCGUUUAUAGUUAAGGUUACAGCCCAAUUCUUGAAAAACAGGAAUGAACCUAGAUUGUCUUUACUGUAAGAUGGCUUUUAAACCUAAGAUGGAUACAGGCUGGUUCUUCAGAUCCUCCUUUGUGGAUGAGUGUUGAGAUGACUGUAGUCUAGCCAACAGCUUAACUCAGUGUUCUGGCUACACAUGGGCUAGGCUAUUUUACCCUGUGAUUUUUCCUUGAAUAGUCUCUUUCAGCACUGGUUCUCUUGUAACCAAAGGGCUCAGCCUCUUAGUGCUCUUUAUUCUGGAUAGGUGUGUGAUGGGCCAAGUGCAUGUGCACACACAUGUGAGGGUAAUGGGAAGUGAAGAAGGAUGGCAAUACCUGUGUGUUUAGAAU
rnacentral:lncRNA from 1 species